rnacentral:rRNA from 1 species
GACGAACGCUGGCGGCGUGCUUAACACAUGCAAGUGGAGCGACGAACCAGGGCUUGCCCUGGGGCAGAGCCGCGAACGGGUGAGUAACACGUGGGUAACGUGCCCCGAUGAUCGGGACAACCCGGGGAAACCCGGGCUAAUACCGAAUGUGCUCCCCUCACACCAGUGAGGGAUGGAAAGGAAGCUUCGGCCUCCGCAUCGGGAUCGGCCCGCGGCCCAUUAGCUUGUUGGUGAGGUAACGGCNCACCAAGGCUGCGAUGGGUAGCUGGUCUGAGAGGACGAUCAGCCACACUGGGACUGAGACACGGCCCAGACUCCUACGGGAGGCAGCAGUGGGGAAUCUUGCGCAAUGCGCGAAAGCGUGACGCAGCAACGCCGCGUGGGGGAAGACGGCCU